GUAGGGUGCGAGCGUUGUCCGGAAUUAUUGGGCGUAAAGAGCUUGUAGGCGGUUUGUCGCGUCUGCUGUGAAAAUUCAGGGCUUAACCCUGGACGUGCAGUGGGUACGGGCAGACUAGAGUAUGGUAGGGGAGACUGGAAUUCCUGGUGUAGCGGUGGAAUGCGCAGAUAUCAGGAGGAACACCGAUGGCGAAGGCAGGUCUCUGGGCCAUUACUGACGCUGAGAAGCGAAAGCAUGGGGGGGAGCGAACAGGAUUAGAUACCCUGGUAGUCCAUGCCGUAAACGUUGGGCGCUAGGCGUGGGUCUCAUUCCACGAGAUCCGUGUCGCAGCUAACGCAUUAAGCGCCCCCGCCUGGGGAGUACGGCCGCAAGGCUA
rnacentral:rRNA from 1 species